CCGAGUCGGGGAUUCCCUGCUGCCCGCGCGCAAGCGCGGGCCUGGGAUUCCGCGGGGGCGGGGCCGGAGAAAGAAGGGGCUUUUCCGUGCUAGGGAACAAAGGCUAUUACCAUAUUCCCUUUGUCAGAGGAUCGAAGCGGUCCUCUCAGCUCCGGAGUGUUAUUUCCUCUCUGGUCCACCGGCCAUCCCUCUGCAGGUCCCCGGGAGAGCUUGCCACACGCAGCUCCGAUACCUUUCCUACCUUGCUCACAGACCCGCCGUGGCUCCCUACCUUCCUGCGGUGAAGCCCUAUUCUUCAGCCCGGCGUCUGAGGCCCUGAACGCCCAGCUGGAAAGCUGUGACCUCCAGGCCUUUGCACAUGUGGUUCCUUCAGCCUUUUCUGCCCCUGUCUGUGCACAGAACUCCUAUGCAUCCUUCGAGGUCUUCCCUCCAUGAAACCCUCAUGGCCUCCUUUGGCCCAGCCCUGGAUGCCACACAGUUGGGGGGUAUGGAGACCAGAAGCCGCAAGGGCAGCCUUGUGGGGGCUGUCACGUGGGUGAGAGCCAUAGCAGUGACCUGGUAAAUGCUUGGACCCUACCCCUACCCAUGGGGGCCCAUCUGGCUGCUGCCCUCCCUUUCUGCCAACUUUCCAAGGCCAAGUAAGCUCUAGGAAGCCAGAACCAGGAACAGAUCUCACCCAACCCUUCCCGGACAUGCAGCCUCUGAUGGGACACUUAUUCCUACCCGGAUCCACCUGCCCGUUCCAGCCUCCAGGCCCUCGCCUGCCCACGGCCCUGCCUAUACAAUGGGAUCCGACUCAUCUCCCGCUCAGGCCCGCUCGGAAGAAAUCCUCCACUGGGAAGCCUGCCCAUGACUUGACCCAGAUGCCUCCCCUGCUGGAGUAACACCAGAGCAGCCAGCAUUUCCUGACCCCCCCCCCCCCCCCAGCACAGCAUGUGACCUGACUGCUGACUCUGAACCAGAACCUCAGGAUGCUAACACGUCGCCUUCAGCUCGCCUCUGGUUCUGCCCCUGAAGUACUUUGUGACCUGGAGCCAGCGCCUCCACCUCUCUGAGCAGUCCCCUCGUAGCAGCCCAGCAAAGCGUCCAGGGGUGGUGGUCCAGAUCCCUUAACGGACAAGGGGCCAGCCAGGUGGGGAGGCCGUAAGAGCCAGGCACAGGUCUCAGCUUGCUGCGACAACACGCAGUUGGGGGCCCUGAUCUUCUCUGGCCGUGACCCCUGCAUUCCAGCCCUCCUCUCCCCACCACCCACCCACCCACCCGCCACCCACAGAGACGUCGAGUGCACGCUUUGCCUCACCGAUCGCCUUUAUUGGGCAUCAGCCCCAGGGCUCCACGGGCGCAGGAAGGGGGUGGUGGGUGUCACUCGAAGCAGGGACCCUCCGGUGGGAGGCACGACCGAUGAUGCCACCUAGCCCCCAGGAUGCUUGCCUCAGCCCCGGACCUCUCUGUGACCCACGCAGCUGGCCCAGCGGACGGCGUGUGAGGUCAUGACCCUGACCGCCUGUAGGGCGGCUCCCCCAGUUCUGGGCUCACUUGGGGGUAUUGAAGGGCACGGCCCGCUGGUUCAUGGGGUUGUCCGGCGACCGCAGCCACUCCUUCUUGAGCAGCUGCUUCAGCUGCGACAGCCGCAUGUUGGGGUUUUCUUGCUUGAGCCGCGGCAGCUGCGCCUCCUCGAAGGCGGUGAAGGCCGCCCGCAUGCGGCGCUCUGGGUGCCGGUCGGCAGCCUCCUCCGUCACGCUAGGGGAGGACAGGGAGGAGGAGAGCCGAGUGAGGGGGGGGAGGGGUCUAGGGUGCGGCCCCGCCCGCGGGGAGGGCCGUGCUCCGCCCCCAGACACAUAGCCCCACCCCCGGCGCUCAAGCCCCACCCCAUCACCUGAGCACCGCGAUGGCAUCCUCGAUGGUGCGCGCCUCCACACUGCCCUCCUCCAGCACGCGGCGGUUCACAUUCUCCUCCAGCGGCACCUCCAAGUGGCUCUUGGCUUUCUCGGCUGGGGGCGGAAGACAGCCAAGUGACAGGGACGCACACAGGGACGGAGAUAAGCGGGGAUGCAGAGCUCCGGAGAGAUGAGAGCGACGCAGUGGGGGAAGAGAGGAGAGAGAAGGAGGCAAGCAGGCAAAGAACGACGGGGGCGCCCUCCUGUCCUCCCAGCGCCCAGGCCCCUGCCCAGGCCCCGCUGCCAUCCUGACUUCCCUGCAGCUGAGCACACAGGAGACACCCCCACUCCUGGCUGCUGUCUCCUUACCCUCCGGGCACCCCAUUCAGUCCCCGGAGACCCCAUGGCCCACAAGCGGAGGUCAGACGCACAGCGAGUAAAUACACACGUGUUUGUGCCCAUGCUCUCGUGCCCAAAGCCAGGCCUGCCAGGACGCUGCCCACCCCUGCUUCACCACACAGCCCAGGCAGCUUCUCUGGGGGUGAGGAAGGGGCUCUAGAUUCAGCCAGGGUUAGUCCUGCGGCCUGGCCUUUAGCGGGGGAAAAGGCAGCUCCAGAGCGAGCCAAAGCCCCACCUGGGUCUGGGGCUUCCUUGUGUUGGUGGUCUCGACGGAGCGUCUCCUCAAUCUGGGCGCGGGUGACCUUGCUGGGCGCGGCCGCCCGGGGGGCCUUGCCACCCUUGAGCUUGGAGUCUUCCUCCUCCAGCAGGCGCUGCGUCUCCUUCUUGCGCUCUAGCUGC